CCAUCGAGUUUUUGAACGCAAGUUGCGCCCGAGGCCAUCAGGCCAAGGGCACGCCUGCCUGGGCGUCACGCAUCGCGUCGCCCUCCCCACUCCUCGCCCCGGACGGGACGAGGACCGCGGGUGAGGGCGGAGACUGGCCUCCCGUGCCUUCGCGCGGCCGGCCUAAACCCGGGUCCCUCGCUGCGGGCGUCACGACGAGUGGUGGUUGAAACCCUCAACUCGAAAGCGAGUCGUGCGCGCGCCCCGCGAGCCAGGAGACCGCUAGACCCUGAGGCGAGCGAGCCCCUUGCGAGGAGCGCUCUCCACGACCGCGACCCCAGGUCAGGCGGGGCUACCCGCUGAGUUUAAGCAUAUCAAUAAGCGGAGGAAAAGAAACUAACAAGGAUUCCCCUAGUAACGGCGAGCGAACCGGGAAGAGCCCA
rnacentral:rRNA from 1 species